CGGAUCCCUCUUCGCCCCCUCUGUGUGUCGGGCUUGUUUUCAGUUGCCUGCGGUUGGUUAGAAGGACUCAGGCAGCUAAAGCAAGUCUGGGACGCGCGAGGAGAACCCGCCGGGCAGGG
rnacentral:precursor_RNA from 15 species